rnacentral:rRNA from 1 species
AUUGAACGCUGGCGGAAUGCUUUACACAUGCAAGUCGAACGGCAGCACGGACUUCGGUCUGGUGGCGAGUGGCGAACGGGUGAGUAACAUAUCGGAACGUAUCCAAUAAUGGGGGAUAACGAGUCGAAAGACUCGCUAAUACCGCAUACGCCCUACGGGGGAAAGCUGGGGACCUUCGGGCCUGGCGUUAAUGGAGCGGCCGAUAUCUGAUUAGCUAGUUGGUGAGGUAAAGGCUCACCAAGGCGACGAUCAGUAGCUGGUCUGAGAGGACGACCAGCCACACUGGAACGGAGACACGGUCCAGACUCCUACGGGAGGCAGCAGUGGGGAAUUUUGGACAAUGGGCGCAAGCCUGAUCCAGCCAUUCCGCGUGAGUGAAGAAGGCCUUCGGGUUGUAAAGCUCUUUCGCAAGGGAAGAAAACUUAGCCACUAACAUUGGUUGAGGUUGACGGUACCUUGAUAAGAAGCACCGGCUAACUACGUGCCAGCAGCCGCCGUAA